rnacentral:rRNA from 1 species
GAUGAACGCUGGCGGCGUGCCUAAUACAUGCCAGUCGAGCGAACGGACGAGAAGUUUGCUUCUCUGAUGAUAGCGGCGGACGGGUGAGUAACACGUGGAUACCCUACCUAUAAGACUGGGAUAACUUCGGGAAACCGGAGCUAAUACCGGAUAAUAUUUUGAACCGCAUGGUUCAAUAGUGAAAGACGGUCUUGCUGUCACUUAUAGAUGGAUCCGCGCUUCAUUAGCUAGUUGGUAAGGUAACGGCUUACCAAGGCAACGAUGCAUAGCCGACCUGAGAGGUGGAUCGGCCACACUGGAACUGGGACACGGUCCAGACUCCUACGGGAGGCAGCAGUAGGGAAUCUUCGGCAAUGGGCGAAAGCCUGACGGAGCAAGGCCGCGUGGGUGAUGAAGGUCUUCGGUUCGUAAAACUCUGUUAUUGGGGAAGAACAGAUGUGUAAGUAAAUGUGCACAUCUUGACGGUACCUAAUCAGAAAGCCACGGCUAACUACGUG